GAUGAACGCUGGCGGCGUACCUAACGCAUGCAAGUCGAACGGGAGACGAGUAGCAAUACGAAUCUCUAGUGGCAAACGGGUGAGUAACACGUAGGGAUCUACCUUGAGGUGGGGAACAACGGACCGAAAGGUUCGCUAAUACCGCAUGGGGUCGCGAGACCAAAGGGGAAUUCUAACAAAUUCUUCGCCUUGAGAGGAGCCUGCGUUCGAUCAGGUAGUUGGUGAGGUAACGGCUCACCAAGCCGAUGACCGAUAGCUGUUCUGAGAGGAAGAUCAGCCACACUGGGACUGUGACACGGCCCAGACUCCUACGGGUGGCUG
rnacentral:rRNA from 1 species